rnacentral:rRNA from 1 species
AUGCCCUACGGGAGGCAGCAGUAGGGAAUCUUCCACAAUGGACGAAAGUCUGAUGGAGCAACGCCGCGUGAGUGAAGAAGGGUUUCGGCUCGUAAAGCUCUGUUGGUAGUGAAGAAAGAUAGAGGGAGAAACUGGCCUUUAUUUGACGGUAAUUACUUAGUAAGUCACGGCUAAAUACGUGCCCGCAGCCGCGGUAAUAAGUAUGUGGCAAGCGAUGUCCGGGUUUAUUGGGCGUAAAGCGAGUGCAGGCGGGUGCAUAAAGCUCAU